GAUGAACGCUGGCGGCGUGCCUAAUACAUGCAAGUCGAGCGAACAGACGAGGAGCUUGCUCCUCUGACGUUAGCGGCGGACGGGUGAGUAACACGUGGAUAACCUACCUAUAAGACUGGGAUAACUUCGGGAAACCGGAGCUAAUACCGGAUAAUAUAUUGAACCGCAUGGUUCAAUAGUGAAAGACGGUUUUGCUGUCACUUAUAGAUGGAUCCGCGCCGCAUUAGCUAGUUGGUAAGGUAACGGCUUACCAAGGCAACGAUGCGUAGCCGACCUGAGAGGGUGAUCGGCCACACUGGAACUGAGACACGGUCCAGACUCCUACGGGAGGCGGCAGUAGGGAAUCUUCCGCAAUGGGCGAAAGCCUGACGGAGCAACGCCGCGUGAGUGAUGAAGGUCUUCGGAUCGUAAAACGCUGUUAUUAGGGAAGAACAAAUGUGUAAGUAACUAUGCACGUCUUGACGGUACCUAAUCAGAAAGCCACGGCUAACUACGU
rnacentral:rRNA from 1 species